CAUGACACCAGAAAACACAACAAACCCUUUGGAGGCACCAGAUCUGGCCUCUAGACUUAGCAACACUGCAUCUACAUAUAUCGAAACUCACUCUUGGAACACAGCCACCAUGCUCUGAAUGGUUUAUAGUCGAUGAAAAGGAGCUGCGUCCCCUUGCCCACAGCAUGACUGGGCAGCCAGAUGACAGUCAGGACUAACUUGUCAAUUAUGUGAAUGUGCCAUCCUGAAUGAAACCUUCAGUCAAAAAUAGAGCUGUCUCAGCUAUGCUGCAUGGAAUACAGAUGAGCCUUCCCUGCCAAACUCCAACCAAACUGCAGAUCCAUGAGCUAAAUGAAUGGUUGUCAUUGUUUUAGGCUACUAACUUUUCAGGGAGACUGUUAGGCAGCACUUACCCAAAAUGAAUAAAGCACUAUAGUAACUGUGAUA